rnacentral:rRNA from 1 species
UACAGAGGGUGCAAGCGUUAAUCGGAAUUACUGGGCGUAAAGCGUGCGCAGGCGGUUUGCUAAGACCGAUGUGAAAUCCCCGGGCUUAACCUGGGAACUGCAUUGGUGACUGGCAGGCUAGAGUAUGGCAGAGGGGGGUAGAAUUCCACGUGUAGCAGUGAAAUGCGUAGAGAUGUGGAGGAAUACCGAUGGCGAAGGCAGCCCCCUGGGCCAAUACUGACGCUGAGACGCGAAAGCGUGGGGAGCAAACAGG